CCAGACAGCACAUGUACGUCUGGCCGACGUCGGCCCAAUAUCGAAACGUCGGCCUCUAUACCUAAAACAUCUAUAAAACAUCGGCCUGGCGGAGGCCGAUAUAAUUUGGUCAGUGCUCUGUUCUCCAGCUCAUCAAUCGUCGGCCCUGAGUUGGGCCGAUGCCGCGCUUCUCUGUGUGCGCGUGCCCAGUAUUCGUCUCUUUUAGCCACCCAGAGAGAGAGAAGAGGAUAAUCCCAGCGACAUCUGUGGCUCUGAGGCUUUCAGAAAUAAUCCGGUGAAAUAAUAUGAUGUUUGUGUAAAUGCUGUGUGUGCGUUGAGUCCUGUGCGAGCUGGGAGCAGAGUUGCCAUGGAAACGGGGCGUCAACACAAAAACCGUUACUGGCAAGCAGUAAUCUCCGUCUCUCGCUGCGGUUUACACUGUUUUGGAAACGGUUUAGUGUCUUCGGAAAAGUCCGUUAUCAUUUUAGCAGUUUUUAGAUGUUUGUUUGUGUAAAUGCUGUGUGCGCGUUGAGUCCUGCGCGAGCGGGGAGCAGAGUUGCCAUGGAAACGGGGCAUCAACACAAAAACCAUUACUGGCAAGCAGUAAUCUCCGUCUCUCGCUGCAGUUUACACUGUUUUGGGAGGACAGAAAGAAACUCUACAGAACAGAAGUGAAGCUCCAAGAUUUCAACAUUUCUGAAGGGAGAUUCUGACUUAGA